GAGAGAGUUCAUGUAUAAGCCUUUUGUUAUCAAUACUCUUUAAUCUCAUACUUGUACCAAGCCCACAAAGGUAUGCUAAUGAGAGCUCUAACACUCCUGGACUUGACUGAAAAUUUUUCUCAGUAGGUUUCAGAAAGUGCUGAGAGGUGUAAGCCCAGCAACGUGCAAGGGGAAAGGGGACAGGAUUCUGGAUGGCCAUUUGCUUCACUGGGAUGCAAAACCUCUUUUGAGUACUAGAAUCAG
rnacentral:lncRNA from 1 species